GAUGAACGCUAGCUACAGGCUUAACACAUGCAAGUCGAGGGGAAACGACAUCGCAAGCUUGCUUUUGAUGGGCGUCGACCGGCGCACGGGUGAGUAACGCGUAUCCAACCUGCCCAUCACUUGGGGAUAACCUUGCGAAAGUAAGACUAAUACCCAAUGAUAUCUCUAGAAGACAUCUGAAAGAGAUUAAAGAUUUAUCGGUGAUGGAUGGGGAUGCGUCUGAUUAGCUUGUUGGCGGGGUAACGGCCCACCAAGGCAACGAUCAGUAGGGGUUCUGAGAGGAAGGUCCCCCACAUUGGAACUGAGACACGGUCCAAACUCCUACGGGAGGCAGCAGUGAGGAAUAUUGGUCAAGGGGCGAGAGCCUGAACCAGCCAAGUAGCGUGCAGGAAGACGGCCCUAUGGGUUGUAAACUGCUUUUAUAAGGGAAUAAAGUGAGAGUCGUGACUCUUUUUGUAUGUACCUUAUGAAUAAGGACCGGCUAAUUCCGUG
rnacentral:rRNA from 1 species